GACGAACGCUGGCGGCGUGCCUAAUACAUGCAAGUCGAACGAACUCUGGUAUUGAUUGGUGCUUGCAUCAUGAUUUACAUUUGAGUGAGUGGCGAACUGGUGAGUAACACGUGGGAAACCUGCCCAGAAGCGGGGGAUAACACCUGGAAACAGAUGCUAAUACCGCAUAACAACUUGGACCGCAUGGUCCGAGCUUGAAAGAUGGCUUCGGCUAUCACUUUUGGAUGGUCCCGCGGCGUAUUAGCUAGAUGGUGGGGUAACGGCUCACCAUGGCAAUGAUACGUAGCCGACCUGAGAGGGUAAUCGGCCACAUUGGGACUGAGACACGGCCCAAACUCCUACGGGAGGCAGCAGUAGGGAAUCUUCCACAAUGGACGAAAGUCUGAUGGAGCAACGCCGCGUGAGUGAAGAAGGGUUUCGGCUCGUAAAACUCUGUUGUUAAAGAAGAACAUAUCUGAGAGUAACUGUUCAGGUAUUGACGGUAUUUAACCAGAAAGCCACGGCUAACUACGUGCCAGCAGCCGCGGUAAUACGUAGGUGGCAAGCGUUGUCCGGAUUUAUUGGGCGUAAAGCGAGCGCAGGCGGUUUUUUAAGUCUGAUGUGAAAGCCUUCGGCUCAACCGAAGAAGUGCAUCGGAAACUGGGAAACUUGAGUGCAGAAGAGGACAGUGGAACUCCAUGUGUAGCGGUGAAAUGCGUAGAUAUAUGGAAGAACACCAGUGGCGAAGGCGGCUGUCUGGUCUGUAACUGACGCUGAGGCUCGAAAGUAUGGGUAGCAAACAGGAUUAGAUACCCUGGUAGUCCAUACCGUAAACGAUGAAUGCUAAGUGUUGGAGGGUUUCCGCCCUUCAGAGCUGCAGCUAACGCAUUAAGCAUUCCGCCUGGGGAGUACGGCCGCAAGGCUGAAACUCAAAGGAAUUGACGGGGGCCCGCACAAGCGGUGGAGCAUGUGGUUUAAUUCGAAGCUACGCGAAGAACCUUACCAGGUCUUGACAUACUAUGCAAAUCUAAGAGAUUAGACGUUCCCUUCGGGGACAUGGAUACAGGUGGUGCAUGGUUGUCGUCAGCUCGUGUCGUGAGAUGUUGGGUUAAGUCCCGCAACGAGCGCAACCCUUAUUAUCAGUUGCCAGCAUUAAGUUGGGCACUCUGGUGAGACUGCCGGUGACAAACCGGAGGAAGGUGGGGAUGACGUCAAAUCAUCAUGCCCCUUAUGACCUGGGCUACACACGUGCUACAAUGGAUGGUACAACGAGUUGCGAACUCGCGAGAGUAAGCUAAUCUCUUAAAGCCAUUCUCAGUUCGGAUUGUAGGCUGCAACUCGCCUACAUGAAGUCGGAAUCGCUAGUAAUCGCGGAUCAGCAUGCCGCGGUGAAUACGUUCCCGGGCCUUGUACACACCGCCCGUCACACCAUGAGAGUUUGUAACACCCAAAGUCGGUGGGGUAACCUUUUAGGAACCAGCCGCCUAAGGUGGGACAGAUGAUUAGGGUG
rnacentral:rRNA from 1 species